rnacentral:rRNA from 1 species
UAAGGAAUAUUGGUCAAUGGACGCAAGUCUGAACCAGCCAUGCCGCGUGAAGGAUGAAGGUCCUCUGGAUUGUAAACUUCUUUUAUAUGGGACGAAACCCGGGUAUUCYURCCCGAUUGACGGUACCAUAGGAAUAAGCACCGGCUAACUCCGUGCCAGCAGCCGCGGUAAUACGGAGGGUGCAAGCGUUAUCCGGAUUCACUGGGUUUAAAGGGUGCGUAGGAGGGYAGGUAAGUCAGUGGUGAAAUCUYCGAGCUUAACUCGGAAACUGCCGUUGAUACUAUCUGUCUUGAAUACCGUGGAGGUGAGCGGAAUAUGUCAUGUAGCGGUGAAAUGCUUAGAUAUGACAUAGAACACCRAUUGCGAAGGCAGCUCACUACACGAAWAUUGACUCUGAGGCACGAAAGCGUGGGGAUCAAACAGGAUUAGAUACCCUGGUAGUCCACGCCCUAAACUAUGGAUACUCGACAUACGCGAUACACUGUGUGUGUCUGAGCGAAAGCAUUAAGUAUCCCACCUGGGAAGUACGACCGCAAGGU